CUGGGCCUGCGCACCUUCCUUGACUGUGGAGUCCAUGGGGCACCUCCCUUAUAUGGUCAGAUAUUUAUGUCUCCCCACUUCUGAAGGGAGCCUUCCCAGCAUGCCUAGUUCAGCAUCCAGUCCUCACGGCCAGCCUCUGAGUCCAAAUUUCUCACCGUGUAUCUCAAGGCAUCGGAAUCACAUGGAACAGGGAGGUGCCGGCGGCUGUCUCACAUGCCGAAGUUCAGGGCUGCCUCUCCAGUAGUGAUGUGGAGAAGCUCAGUCCCUGGGGAAUCUGUGCAGCAGGCAUUGUGAAGACCCUGUUUCUCUGGCUGUGCAGCUGCAAGGUCACUAGGCAGAUAAACUCAAGUUGUAAAACACGUUUUGCCUUGAAAAGUAAGAAAUGAUGUAAUGCGUGUCUUAAUUGAAUAACUGUCUUUGUUUCAUGCUUCUGUAAUAUGCUUCCCCCUGCACAGAUCUCCCCCCGCCCCACAAAAUGCUUAAAAGGUAGCUUGACUCUUUGUUCAUGGCUCAGUCCUUUGGAUGUUAAUCCGACUGGGUUGGUGCACCUAAAUAAUUAAAUAAUUCCUUUUCAA